UACGAAGGGGGCUAGCGUUGCUCGGAAUCACUGGGCGUAAAGCGCACGUAGGCGGAUUGUUAAGUCAGGGGUGAAAUCCUGGAGCUCAACUCCAGAACUGCCUUUGAUACUGGCGAUCUUGAGUCCGGGAGAGGUGAGUGGAACUGCGAGUGUAGAGGUGAAAUUCGUAGAUAUUCGCAAGAACACCAGUGGCGAAGGCGGCUCACUGGCCCGGUACUGACGCUGAGGUGCGAAAGCGUGGGGAGCGAACGGG
rnacentral:rRNA from 1 species